UACGUAGGGUGCGAGCGUUGUCCGGAAUUAUUGGGCGUAAAGAGCUUGUAGGCGGUUUGUCGCGUCUGCCGUGAAAGUCCGGGGCUCAACUCCGGAUCUGCGGUGGGUACGGGCAGACUAGAGUGAUGUAGGGGAGACUGGAAUUCCUGGUGUAGCGGUGGAAUGCGCAGAUAUCAGGAGGAACACCGAUGGCGAAGGCAGAUCUCUGGGCCGUAACUGACGCUGAGGAGCGAAAGCGUGGGGGAGCGAACAGG
rnacentral:rRNA from 1 species